rnacentral:rRNA from 1 species
GUCUAUGGCCAUAGCAACCUGAACACCCCAAUCUCGUCUGAUCUCAGAAGCUAAGCAGGGUCGGGCCUGGUUAGUAUUUGGGUGGGAGAAAUGUUCCUCUCACUAGCCAUCAGGAAAAUGAGAUGUUAACU